GAAUUAAAGGUCGAUGAGCUGCCAAAUGGUGAUGUGGUUAUUCAAGUCAUACCAGAAUCAGAUUCAGAAGCAGAGAGACGUGCAGUGUUCGAUUUGGACACGAUAGAAUUAGACAGAGGAAGC